AUUUGCGCACACAAACCACACAAACUUUAAGCCUUGUGAAGCUGCCCAGGUGGUGUUUAGGAAAUUUUGGUAAAGAAAGAAUGAAGAAGUAUUUGAGGCAGAUUCUAGCUGGCAAGAUGUGAGAAGGGUAAAAGCCGGUUUUAUUUAGUUUUGUUUGUUUAUUUUUAUUUUUAUGUUUACAUUGCAGCUAGUUUGAAAGUUGGUUUCUGGCAAGAGGAAAGAAAAGGCUGCAGCACUAAAGGAAGAAUCAAAGUGUUAAAAGGACGCUCAGAAUGUAGUAUUGUGGCAGGUCGGGAAAACCCUGGUGGUUCCAUUAUUUUAAAAGGAAAUACUGGUGAAUGAAUGAUGAAAGGAAUUUUCAAAUACCACAGUGACUUCAAAAAUUUUGGUGAUGGAUUUGAGAUGGUUAAAAUAUAAUUAAAAAAGAAUUAUCAGACGGUGUGCCAACAACUGCUUGGUGAUUCCAGGACAAGAUGGCAGAGAAGAAGGACCUGAGCUCACCUCCUCUCAUGAAAUCACCAAAAUCACAACUAACUAACUGCUCAACAACCAUUGACAAAAAGGACUGGAACCUACCAAAAAAGAUAUUUUACUUCCAAAGACAAAGAAGAAGCCACAGUGAAAAGAAGGAGAAUUUGAGUUUUAGAUCUAUGUGUUCUGAGGAUUACAACAUGAGAAGCAUGAUUCAAACUGACCAUCACAGAGUCAGGAGGGUCUUUGGAAGACACAUCACACAUUCAGCUGCUCAGAGAAAACCACCCAUAUUGCCAUAAUGAAGAAAGAAUGUCAGAGAAGCAUUGUCAGAGCUUUUGGAUGUUUCUUACCAUUUGAGGAGUUAAGCAGAGUUGAGUGCAUUUGGCGGCCUUUGUGAAAUUCAUAUAUUUUAUGAUUGAAAUUGUUUUAUGACUUGGGAACUUACUGAUAAAGCCUUGUAAAGUUAUAGAUAAUAAAUCACAUUUAGUUACAUAUUGAAUGUCAUUUUCAUUGAAAUCACCCUGUUCUUUUAGUACACUUAUCAAGCUUUGUUAUAACAAUAACAUUUGUUUUUUAUUUUUAACUUUUUAUUUUAUAUUGGAGAAUAGUUGAUUAACAAUGUUGUGCUAGUUUCAGGUAUACAACAGAGUGAUUCAGUAAUACAUAUACAUGUAUCUAUUCUUUUUCAAAUUAUUUUCCCAAUUAGGCUGUUACUGAAUAUUGAGUAGAUUUCCCUGUGCUGUACAGUAGGUCCUUGUUGGUUAUCCAUUUUAAAUAUAGCACUGUGUACAUGUCAAUCCCAAACUCCCUAAUUAUCCCUCCCCUCCACCCUUCCUCCCUUGGUAACCAUGAGUUCAGUCUCUAAGCCUGUGAGUCUGUUUCUGUUUCGUAAAUAAGUUCAUUUGUAUCAUUUUUUUUUAGAUUCCCCAUAUAAGCGAUGUCAGAUGAUAUUUCUUUCUCUGAUUUACUUCACUCAGUAUGACAAUAAUAUUUGUAAUCUUUAUUCAUUGUUUAAUAUCCUUGUUCCUUACUAGACUGUUAGCUCCAUGAAGGCAAGAGCCAUGUUUUUUAGUAUGUCAUUGUAAACCUAGGAAAGUACCUAGUACUUAAUAUCUAAUGAAUAAAUUUAUGAAUUUAAAAGAUUGAAAAUUGGCAAUGACUUUGAAAAUCCAAGAUGUAUAGUUGUCAUUCUUUCAGGCUAAAGUGAAAUUCAUUUAAUAUUUCUGGAAAGCUCCAUGUAAGAACAUUGUUUAUGUUUCCUGAGGUGUCAAUUGCCGUAUCGAAGGUCUUGUUGCCGGAUAACCAUGCCCUAAAUUUUCAUACUCAAAAGGCAGUAAACUCCCCUGUCAAUCUUUCACAAAAUGCAGUUAACACUAAGUCUGGGUUGACACAUUCACCAUCAAAAUUUUAGCAACUUGAUGCUGGUUAAGUUGUUUAAAAUACUUUCACUAAAUAACAAAUGCUGGGAAGGGUGUGGAGAAAAGGGAACCCUCCUACACUGUUGGUGGGAAUGUAAGUUGGUGCAACCACUAUGGAAAACAGUAUGGAGGUUCCUCAGAAAACUAAAAAUAGAAUUACUGUAUGAUCCAGCAAUCCCACUCCUAGGCAUAUACCUGGACAAAACCAUAAUUCAAAAAGAUACAUGCACCCCUAUGUUCAUAGCAGCACUAUUCACAAUAGCCAAAACAUGGAAACAACCUGAAUGUCCAUUGGCAGAUGAAUGGAUAAGAAGAUGUGGUACAUAUAUACAGUGGAAUACUACUUAGCCAUAAAAAAGAACAAAAUAAUGCCACUUGCAGCAAGAGGGAUGCAGCUAGAGAUUAUCAUACUAAGUGAAGUUAAGUCAGAAAGAGAAAGACAAAUACCAUAUAUCACUUGUAUGUGGAAUCUAAAAUAUGGCACAAAUGAACCUAUCUAUACAACAGAAACAUGCUCACAGACUUGAGAGAUCAGACUUGCAGUUGCCAAGGGGGAGAGAGGGAGGGAGAGGGAUCAACUGGGACUUUGGGGUUGGUAGAUGCAAAUUAUUACAUUUAGAAUGGAUAAACAGCAAGGUCCUACUGUAUAGCCCAGGGAAGUAUAUCCAAUCUCCUGGGAUAAACCAAAAUGGAAAAGAAUAUUAAAAAAAGAAUGUCUAUAUGUGUAUAACUGAGUCACCAUGCUGUAUAGCAGAGAUUGGCACAGCACUGUAAAUCAACUAUACUUCAAUAAAAAAAAAACACUUUCACUGAAAAUUUGUAUUUUUCCCUAAUUAGUAUUCAAAUACUAUUUCUACUUUUUUUCUUCAUAGCUCCUAUGCUGUGCUUGUUACAUGAUUGUUAAAAAUGAUUGGCACACGUGGGUGGCCCCACUCCUCACUGGCCCAGUUCCCAGCAGCCCUUAGUAAAGGUGCUACAUAGAACAUGAUGUUUAACCUUAAGAUCCCUUAAACACCCAUCCAUUCAUCUUAAAUACUCCCAGUCCUACUGCAUCUGGGGCUGAGGAUCCUGGGAAGUGGGGCCAUUGCCUGAUCUAGAGCAGGGUUUCAAGCUUAGAGUUGAUUCCCCUCUCCACCAGCAUUCCUACUGUUACAGUGCUAUUUGUGGCCUUUUUAGAAAUAUUUGGCAAUUUCUUAUUGGUGUUAUCUUAGGAAAAUUUUUCUAAAACUUGGAAAUAAGGGGAAAAAAAUGAUUGCAAGUCCUUUCAAUAUCGUGUCACAAAAGUGCUUCUCCAGGGAUUUCCCUGGUGGUCCAGUGGUUAAGACUUUGCCUUCCAAUGCAGAGGGUACGGGUUUGAUCCCUGGUUGGGGAGCUAUGAUCCCACAUGCCUCAGGCCGAAAAACCAAAACAAAACAGAAGCAAUAUUGUAACAAAUUCAAUAACGACUUUAAAAAUGGUCGGCACUGAAAAAAAAAUCUUUAUAAAAGAUUAAAGAAAAGAAAUGCUUCUCCAACUUUAAUAUUAAUGACCUGAAUGACCCGGUGAUAUUUUUAAAAUGCAGAUUCUGACUCAGUGCAUCUGGAGUGGGGAACCCAGAUUCUGCAAUGCUGCUAGACGAUGCUACACAUUUUGAAUAGCAAGGUUCGAGGGCAAAUUGUUGAAAGCCCUUGUAAAAGUCCGUGCCACUUUCUAGGGCAGAGGUUCUCAAACUUACUUGCACGUUAGAACCACUGGGGGAGGUUUUAAAAAUCCUGCUGCUCAGGCCUUACUCAGUUUCCAAGUAGAUGGGAAUAUUUGGGGUAAGACCUAGUUAUCAGUAUUUUUUAAAACUCCCUAGCUGUUUCUAAUAUGCUCUAAGGGAAUAUAACUUUGUUUACACAACUGCAUAGGGCCAUUUUACAGUUCUGUAAAACUGUUAAGCUGUGAUGGUUUUAUUGCCCUGUAGGACUUUAACUAAUUUUGUAUCUAAUUUGGUACUUUAUUUCAGCGUUUUUUUCCUACUGACUAAAAAAUUCCAAUUUCUCAAAUUUUAUUUUGUCAU